rnacentral:rRNA from 1 species
UACAGAGGGGGCAAGCGUUGUUCGGAUUCACUGGGUUUAAAGGGUGCGUAGGUGGGUUGGUAAGUCAGUGGUGAAAUCCCCGAGCUUAACUCGGGAACUGCCAUUGAUACUAUUAAUCUUGAAUACCGUGGAGGUCAGCGGAAUAUGUCAUGUAGCGGUGAAAUGCUUAGAUAUGACAUAGAACACCAAUUGCGAAGGCAGCUGGCUACACGAAUAUUGACACUGAGGCACGAAAGCGUGGGGAUCAAACAGG